AACGAACGCUGGCGGCAUGCCUAACACAUGCAAGUCGAGCGAAGACUUCGUUCCUAUCUGCGGACGUCGGGGUAACGCGUGGGAACUUGCCCUUUGCUUCGGUAUAGUCCUCUGAAACUGGGAUUAAUACCGGAUGAGCCCUUUCGGGGUAGGAUUUAUGGGGGAAGGAUCGGCGUGCGUUGGAUUAGGUAGUUGGUGGGGUAAUGGCCUAUCAUGCCCAGGAUGCAUAGCUGGUAUGAGAGGAUGAUCAAGCACACUGGAGCUGAGGCCCGGACUAGAAUCCUACGCGAGGGAGCAGAGUGGAAUAUUAGACAAUGGAGGAAAAUCUGAUCUAGCCAUGCCGGGUAAGCGAUGAAGGCCUUAGGAUUGUAAAGCCCUUUGAGCUGGGAAGAUAGUGACGGUACCAGCAGAAGAAGCCCCGGCUAACUACGUG
rnacentral:rRNA from 1 species